rnacentral:rRNA from 1 species
GACGAACGCUGGCGGCGUGCCUAAUACAUGCAAGUCGAGCGGACGGAUGGGAGCUUGCUCCCAGACCGUCAGCGGCGGACGGGUGAGUAACACGUGGGCAACCUGCCUGUAAGACUGGGAUAACUCCGGGAAACCGGGGCUAAUACCGGAUAACUCUUUCCCUCACAUGAGGGAAAGCUGAAAGAUGGCAUCUCGCUAUCACUUACACAUGGGCCCGCGGCGCAUUAGCUAGUUGGUGAGGUAACGGCUCACCAAGGCGACGAUGCGUAGCCGACCUGAGAGGGUGAUCGGCCACACUGGGACUGAGACACGGCCCAGACUCCUACGGGAGGCAGCAGUAGGGAAUCUUCCGCAAUGGACGAAAGUCUGACGGAGCAACGCCGCGUGAGUGAUGAAGGUUUUCGGAUCGUAAAACUCUGUUGUCAGGGAAGAACAAGUACCGGAGCAACUGCCGGUACCUUGACGGUACCUGACCAGAAAGCCACGGCUAACUACGUG